CGCAUGCGCAAUGAAUAGGUCAUGACCUGGGUUAGCGAGGUUUUCAUCGACGGAAACUUGUUUCAAUUGCAGUAAUUUUCACUGAGAUGGUUUGUGCAGCAGAGCUCAUCAAGACCCAGUAUUAACGUUACCAUCUAACGUUACAGAAACAACGACACAACCGGGAAUUGCCGUGCAUCGCAGCUGUCCAUUUUUACUGGAAUUGGGGAUAAAUAAUUCUGUUUGACUGUCCCGAUUGAUUACUGGUCAAGACUCUUCACGCUGGAGCCCGUGGGAAUGGAUGAGCAUGGUGUUUAUGUGCUUUAGGAUAAACGACUGCCUAUAAAGGGCCAUAAAUACAUCCACAGAUUGUCUCGAGAGCGCAUCGUAAUCUUUGUUGAUAGUCAGUUGCCGGGAAGAGUAGCUGCAAGCAGACGAUUCUCCUCCAAUAGAUGUCAAUCAAACAAAGGCCGCUCGGGCUUGCUGGGAUGCCAAAGCUGACAUUGCUCCAGUUAUUUCUCUUUCAACGCUGAUAAAGAAGUACCAUUCUUAUAACCUAAUAUGAAGAUUUAAAAAAGUCAUGAAAGAAUGAAAAAGAACAAAAACGUUUCAUAUUAAUCUAAAAUGAAGUUUUAUACCAUGCUUACUUUUGUCACUAGAUGGCGGUAAAACUCCAAUAAUAAUUCAUGUAUCACCAUGCAUAUCUAAAAGUUUGUGUGGUUUAAACUCGCUCGUUGCAUAACGGGACAAUGCACCUCAUUCAUUCUGUGGUAAACGUUUAGUCCCAAGCACUCCUUAAUUGUUUCUGGUGGAAAAAAAAUGUAAUGUAGUCUACUUCUCUGCAAACGCUUGAUGCAUUUGAACCCUUGCUUCUAUUAAAAUACUUUAUUAGAUAGUAUCACACGCCGUCUUAAAACUUUUUAGAAAACUAUACUAGUCAUUGUGCGUUAUGAUUAAGCAUUAUAAUUCUGAUGUCGUUGCAUUUGUUAAUUAUUAAAACAAUAUGUAUUGAUUUAUCUGUUUAUAGAACGUUUCUGAUAUUUUCUCCUACUCUAUACAUUAAUUCGGUAUAGCCUAAAUGUGAUUUUUUUAAUAUUUGAAUUUGAAACGUUGCAUCAGAUUGACAGCCUGCUUAAUGUAAGGUCAAUUACAACACUACAUACAUAUUUUAAAAUGCACAUUAAAAUGACAAUUUAAAUAAUCAGAUUACCAUCUAAAUAAUUAGAUAUUUAUUGGUUGCAAUAAUAUAGAUUAUCAUUAAAAUUGCAUGUUUUUGUUUGGUGGCUGCAAAAGACAUAAAGGAUUUCAAGUUUUCUGACUGCAUGUGCUCUCUCGGCCUUCGAUUUGCCGCGAGCACGCGCAAGGUCUAGUGUAGCGAAGGCAUAAAAUCCAGUCUUGGCUGUGCAACAAGCACUUCAAUUACUAAAUACCCUUUCACUCAAAAGAAGCGAUACACAACAUAUGAAUGAAUCAGAUUUAUUAUGGGAUAGCGAUGGAUUUUUAUGAGUGACGAACAGGCGUGCUAGAUCAGCACAAUGUCUUUCCCCACAGUGCAGUAUAAUGAGAGAGUUUUGUGGC